UACGGGGGGGGCAAGCGUUGUUCGGAAUUACUGGGCGUAAAGGGCUCGUAGGUGGCCAACUAAGUCAGACGUGAAAUCCCUCAGCUUAACUGGGGAACUGCGUCUGAUACUGGAUGGCUUGAGUUUGGGAGAGGGAUGCGGAAUUCCUGGUGUAGCGGUGAAAUGCGCAGAUAUCAGGAGGAACACCGAUGGCGAAGGCAGGUCUCUGGGCCACUACUGACGCUGAGAAGCGAAAGCAUGGGGAGCGAACAGG
rnacentral:rRNA from 1 species